rnacentral:rRNA from 1 species
AUACGGAGGGUGCAAGCGUUAAUCGGAAUUACUGGGCGUAAAGCGCGCGUAGGCGGUUUGUUAAGCGAGAUGUGAAAGCCCUGGGCUCAACCUGGGAACUGCAUUUCGAACUGGCAGGCUAGAGUACAAGAGAGGGUGGUAGAAUUUCCUGUGUAGCGGUGAAAUGCGUAGAUAUAGGAAGGAAUACCAGUGGCGAAGGCGGCCACCUGGCUUGAUACUGACGCUGAGGUGCGAAAGCGUGGGGAGCAAACAGGAUUAGAAACCCCAGUAGUCC